GUUUUUGAAGCACAAUUCCUCUCUUCGCUACUUUGCUCUAUAUAUUGAGAAACUCUCGCCGCUGUUCAUAUCUUCAUCCACCCAUUAGACUUUUCUUCAUCUUUUUUUCUUUUUCAUUUUUUUAUUUCUCGACGAAUUGAAAUCAUGUGAUGAGAGAAAAACUGCAACAAUAUGAUCGGUAAUGUGUGUUUGCGGUGAUGAUUAGAUGUUAAUCCCAGCUCAUUAUGAGACCUUCUUUGUGUAAGGUCAGGGAUAAUUAAUAUUUCUCUCAUCUGUCUGAGCAUUUUCAUUUUUGCUAAAUACAUUUAUUUUGUAUAUAUAUAAUUAUUAUAUAUUUAUUAUUUUUGUUGUUUUUUUUAAAUAGUGUUCCUGAUGAUGCUACAAACCAUGCUAAUUCUGAUGAAUUUAUGACUGAAAUCCGAUUUUCGGAAAUUUCCUGAGGGGACAUUUAUUUACUUUAAAUUAUUGAUUUUACUAAAUUUAAUUUAUUUAAAUAAAUAAAUCAAAAAGUAUGUGAAUUGAAGAUAUAAAUCCUUUUAGAAUCCAGGACUACAAAUUAAUUAGUUGGAUUGACAAAUUUGCUAUUUAAUCCAAGCUUUGGUCCGCUCAAGUUCAUAUACCAUUGGGAUGCUCAAGUCUCAGUUAUUAAAACUGUAGAUUAUACAAAUUAUUUUAUUUAUAAAAUUUGUUUGUUGAGAAA